UACGUAGGGGGCAAGCGUUGUCCGGAAUUAUUGGGCGUAAAGAGCGUGUAGGCGGCCCGGCAAGUCCGCCGUGAAAGUCCAGGGCUCAACCCUGGAAUGCCGGUGGAAACUGUCGGGCUUGAGUUCGGAAGAGGCGAGUGGAAUUCCUGGUGUAGCGGUGAAAUGCGCAGAUAUCAGGAGGAACACCGGUGGCGAAGGCGGCAUCCUGGACCGGCAUUGACGCUGAGGCGACGGAAAGCCCAGGGGAGGCAAACGGG
rnacentral:rRNA from 1 species